rfam:Myotis davidii contig43768, whole genome shotgun sequence.
AGACCCAGAGAGAGAGGCAGGGUCUGAUCCCAGCCUCAGUGGCAGCUGUUGAUCAGUACUUGCCUCUCUCUUUCUCGCCC